rnacentral:tRNA from 1 species
AUGGCUUUAGGUUAAAAAAACUAAUAUUUUUCAAAAAUAAGAAUGUCUUAAUGGCAAGAGAGUG